GUUCUGUAGGAGUUCUGUACGAGUUCUGUCUGUCAGAGUUCUGCAGGGGUUCUGUAGGAGUUCUGUCUGAGUUCUGUCUGUUAGAGUUCUGCAGAGGUUCUGUAGGAGUUCUGUCUGAAUUCUGUCUGUUAGAGUUCUGCUUGGGUUCUGUAGGAGUUCUGCAGGAGUUCUGUCAGAGUUCUGUAGGAGUUCUGUACGAGUUCUGUCUGUCAGAGUUCUGCAGGGGUUCUGUAGGAAUUCUGUCUGUCAGGGUUCUGCAGGAGUUCUGCAGGAGUUCUGUAGGAGUUCUGUAGGAAUUGUGUCUGUCUGAGUUGUAUAUGAGGUGUGUAGUAGUUUAGUUCAGCUCCGUAGGAGUUCCGAAGGAGUUUACAGCUACACUCCCAUAACUUUAUUGAUUCAUGGAUGUUCCAAAACAUUAAAUGCCCCAAUAAAU
ensembl:lncRNA